rnacentral:rRNA from 1 species
GACGGAGGAUGCAAGCGUUAUCCGGAAUGAUUGGGCGUAAAGCGUCCGCAGGUGGCAGUUCAAGUCUGCUGUCAAAGACCGGGGCUUAACUUCGGAAAGGCAGUGGAAACUGAACAGCUAGAGUAUGGUAGGGGCAGAGGGAAUUCCUGGUGUAGCGGUGAAAUGCGUAGAUAUCAGGAGGAACACCGGUGGCGAAAGCGCUUGUCUGGCCCAAUACUGACGCUGAUGCGCGAAAGCUAGGGGAGCAAACAGG